rnacentral:lncRNA from 1 species
AUGAUAUCCGAUCCAUAUCCGAUCCAUUUUCAGCUUUAUAGACCACUCAAAUCCCACGAUGGAUAACACGUUAUAUUUAUCUUUUUAUUUUAUAAAUUCUCAAUUAUACAUUAUCCAUCGUGCACAUGCUAUGAGAUUUAUGUUGAUCUAUCUGAGCAUGGAUCGAGCAAUAAUCAUCCCACACGAUAAUGAGCAAAAAAUUUAUAUGUAGGC